CCAGUGCACGGGCAGCCCACUCAGCCCAUUGGACAUAAAUGGUGGUGGUGUUUGUGAAGCAUCUGGCUGGCAGUGUGGAAGGAAUGGAAUCUUAAACCAGUCAGUGGGGAAUCGCCUGAUGAGCAGCAGUUUGGUGGCAGCAGUGGGAUUCAAAGGACUCAUCUGAUGGCUUCGGAGAUGAGAAACACAGGCAUUGGUACCCGCAAAACCUUUGAGUUCUCCAUCUUUUUCGCUGUUUCCGAGGGCCGUGGUUCUACUGAGACAUACUUGAUAUACAGCACUGUGCAAGUUAACACUGCUGUGUGGUAUAUUUGAAAGUUGCUAAGAGAGUAGAUCCUAAAACUUGUCAUCACCAGGAAAAAAGCUUUUAUUUCUGUUUCGUGAUGGAUGUUAACUAACCUUAUUUUGGUCACCUUGCCUGGUUCGGAGCUGAGCUGCCGUGACCCUCUUUCCCUUGCCCGGUGUGAGCUUCUGGAGGCCACUGAGGCAGCGCCAGAGGGUAAGGCGGCCUGCAGGCUGGGUAUUCCCGGAAGGAAAGUGGGAUCUUUCCUGUGUUUAGAAGGACACGUGGAAAGUCAGCUAUGUGGGUGAACCUUUCCCUUUAUC